CCUACGGGUGACUGCAGUCGGGAAUAUUGCGCAAUGGAGGAAACUCUGACUCAGUGACGCCGCGUAUAGGAAGAAGGUUUUCGGAUUGUAAACUAUUGUCGUUAGGGAAGAUAAAAGACUGUACCUAAGGAGGAAGCCCCGGCUAACUAUGUGCCAGCAGCCGCGGUAAUACAUAGGGGGCAAGCGUUAUCCGGAAUUAUUGGGUGUAAAGGGUGCGUAGACGGAAGAACAAGUUGGUUGUGAAAUCCCUCGGCUCAACUGAGGAACUGCAACCAAAACUAUUCUCCUUGAGUGUCGGAGAGGAAAGUGGAAUUCCUAGUGUAGCGGUGAAAUGCGUAGAUAUUAGGAGGAACACCAGUGGCGAAGGCAGCAUGCCGGCUUCCUACUGACGCUGAAGCACGAAAGCGUGGGGAUCGAACAGGAUUAGAUACCCUAGUAGUC
rnacentral:rRNA from 1 species